AAAAGACGAGGGAAGAAGAGGUCCAUCACAGUAAGCUGAGGACAUGACAUGGAUGCUGCUUUGUCACCUCAAAUGCCAUCAGCUUCCAGUAUCCAUGACUGAAGCCAAGGAUGAGAAGCUUCUUUCUGCCUGGGAGCUGGCCAGAUGAGCAGCCUCCCGUACCCAUCACGAGUGAUCCUUCUCAUAUCUUCAGCUAUGCAGAUUUGAAGAACCUUAGAAUGGUAGGAGAUGGCCAUUGAGGAGAGCUGAUAAAGAUUCCAAAAGAAAUAAAUGCUGACCAGGAGAGAGAAGAUAUAUGGAUUUUUCAGACAAGACAGAUAUCUCCAAAUGAAAAAGGUUUAAUGAAAUCCGGUCUUGACCAAUUCAGGAACUAAUUAAAGUGGUGUUGAAACCUCCGAGAGUAUACAGAGGACAGGAACAAGAAGAAAAGAGGAAGAAGGAAUGUCAGAGUAAUUGCUGAAUUCACAACCCACUCUAGUCCUGGAAAGGUUCUAGAGCAAAUGAUAGAGCAAAAACUUUCAACCACUGGAAUAUAACAGUGAUAAGAAGAGUAAGGAAAAGAACAGGAUAUGUCAGCUCAGUUUCUGUCUUUGAUGGAUUACUAGGUUCAGUAUGUAACAGGAGAGAAGUAGAUGUAUUGCAGCUUGAAUAAGAAUUUUGACAUGUACACACAACUAUAUAAUAUCAGUGAAAGAAAUAGUUUAAAUGAAAACAUCACAAUGUUCACAACUGAGCAAAGAACACUAAUUGGUGAUUUGCUGCUGAAACAGUUUAUACAAAGGAACAGAUAUUUGAAAUAACCUUGAGGUAUUUGUACUGGAAAUUAUUUAUUUUAAUGAAUUAUAUUCAUUAUAUUUCCAUUACAAUGGAAAAGGAAAGGCGAAAUCUGUACAGAUAGCAAUCAAGUAAGGAGAUUCUGCCAGUAGAUUCAUGACCUGAUCCUGUGCUCUAGGACUCUUGAGUCGUAUGGAAAUACUGGAAUACAAUAAGGUGAUAAAGGACUCCAGAACAGUCAAUAAGUCCAAAACUAGAAGAUGAAUCUUGCUACAAAUUGCUUUCAAAUAUUACAGUUUGGGGGGAAACAAAUCACAGGUGCCAAGAUAACCAGCAAGAGAAACACAUGAUCUUCCUUUUCCCCAAUGGCAAUUUUAAGCAACUGUGUUAAUAGCAAUUGCAGACAGGGCACAGUGAGUUUGGAGAUACUAUAUAGAUACAGCAAUGACAGUCUAUUGGCCAGCAUAGCUGCAGAGGUGUGUGCACAGAACAGAAAAACCUCCAGCCAGUCACAUCUAAGAAGGUGUUUUGUUGGCAGAUUGCCUGAGAAAGCUCUUCCCAACACCACCUGGCAUGAAAGCACCAACUAGAGAAACAUAACCAAGACAGCCAGCAGGGCAUAUAGGAAGGAAACUUUUUACAACAAUUAAAUUCAUUCAAUUAAAGACCCAUUUGACAUUGUGAGAGGGGAAAAAAAAUCCAGCUAAAAACCCCCACAAGGUAAACUUCCUACACAAUUAGGCUUUGUUUUCUCUGUUUGGACGUUCAAUCUGUCAUCACAAUGUCUUUGAAACCUUGUUUGCAAUGAAGACAGGUUACAAUGGAGCAAAGGAGAUAAAAGUUGGUGACAGACAAGGUCCAGAAAGGAUUUUUAUUGGCUGAAAUAAAUUUUAUCUAGGAAGUCAGUGAAGAAUCACACUGCAAACUAAUUCAAACCAUACAUAUAUUUCUUUCUUUCAAACAUUUCUGAAUAUUUUGGAAUAAAGGGAAUAAUUCUGGGCAUUCAUACAACUAAACUGAAAUUAUAGUCAGAAGUUAUAUGAGUACUCAAAAAUUAUUUAUUUUUGCAAAUAGUUUGCUGAAUUUUCUUCUCAGAUAUGCGUUGCCAUGUGGCAGGAGAAAAACCAAGGCUGACUGGAAGUUUGAACACAGGGCUGUUUGUGAGGCCACAUGUGAGAAAUAUAGGUUACACUGUGCUUUGCUUUUGGCAUCUAAGAAACCUGUCUGAGUGAACAUACCUGCCAAAAGUUACAUUAGCAACAAGGUAUCUUGUGUCUGUGCCAGCACAUUUCCCUUCAAACAUGGAAAUAACUUACCCCACGUGUCUGGCCUUCACUGAUGCUUUGAAGGCCGAAACAUAUCUGCUGCAAAUUAAUUUGAGUUUUUGCUUUGGAUGAAGGGACCAGGCUGCUGACUUUGUGGUAUUUGGAGCACAAGGUGAGAGACUGAGAGAACUGGAUUUGUCCCGACUUGAGAGGGCAAAAUGAGAUCUUAUGAUUUUAUUCAUCUAUAUAACAUAUGCUUCUAAAGAAGAGAGCGCCAAACUUCUGGAGGUGCACAGGAAAGAGGCAAUAAACACAGGCUGCAACCAAGGAAAUUCCAGUUAGGUACUGGGAACUUUUUUCAUCAUUAGAGUGGUCACAGACUGGAACAGGUGUGCAGGGGGACAAGGAGUCUCCAUUCUUGCAGGUGUUUGAAACCCAACUGGUCAGAGCCCUGAGCAGCCCAAGUUAUCUUUGUAGCUGGAUCUAAUUUCAAAGUUGGAUGUGCUCUAAACAUGCCUGUUGGACCAGACAGCUUCCAAGGAUGAGUUAUUCCCUGACUGAGGGAGCUGCUGCAAGGCUGCUCAGCUCUAUUAAAAAGGUGCCUCAUAAGAAACAGGCCCUGAUCUUAACAGCAUCAACAACAAAACAUCAACUUUUAGAUGCUUCUCUCUGCUCCAUAUGCCAGCAGGUUAUUAAGAAAGGUUAUUGCUUUUCAGAUCUGCCCCAGAAUGUGUUGUACAUUCUAUCAAUGCACAAAAAGUUCCUGUGGUUGUAUUUUCUCAAAUGGGAGUUUUUCCUUCAUGGGCACUGCUUCAAAGACCUUACAAGAAAAGGGAGGUGCAGGCUUUGUUUUUUUAUCUUGUACUGACAGAAGAGAGACAUCCCCUCGUUAUGCUUGCACUAGAACACAACAACUCUGAGUUGGUUUUAUUUUUCUGUGUGUAUGUUUGCUUUUGUUUUUUAACAUCCUUAAAAGUCUCCUAGUGUUAGAACUAAAAACAAGCGAACAAACAAAAAACCCAAACAGGAUCUGAGCUUCACGUUACAUUUGUAUCCAGCAUCUGCAAUCUGAUCUCAACGAAACAAGGGGUUUGUUUAGAAUGAGUCUGGAUUCUAAACAAACAAGUGAAGAGUUAGAAGAUACUCUCAAAGCACAUACAAACCACACAUUAAAUAGACACUGCACAGGACUUGGAGAUUUUUCUAUAUUACUCAGUUCUUCACAAAAACACUAAAGAAACUUGGCCAAGAUAUUUUGUUUUUCUCUGUCUUGCUUCUCUCCCAUAAAAAUGAAAAUGAUGUCACCUUUUUGCCACUCUUUCCCUUUCUAAAUAUACAGGGCUGAAAAACCCAUGGGAAGGAGUUCUGUCCAAUUUCACUAUGAACUAACCAGCAGUCAGUCUAUUAAAAAAAGUAUGAAUAAUAUAUAGUGAACAGAAAGAAAAAGAAAUAAAGAAAAAGAACAAGUGCUCCCUUGCAAAUAUACUGAUUUGGCUUAAUUGAAAACCUUAUGACUCUUGGAGGGGAAAGGCUUUCCCCACAUUCUUACACAGCACUGUCUGUCUGUUGUGCCAUCCAGAUUGUGUCCAAAAGUCCACAACAAAAGUCUCCCUCCAGGACAGCUUCUUUUGCAAGAAGCAUUUCCCACUGAGAUGCAUAUUUAGAAACAAUCCCCUAGGAUCUGUGUGAGGAAUCUGAUGGAAUCUAAGCCUGUGGCACAGAAAGCAGACACCUGACACAUGAAGACAGGACACGGUGUCACAUGAAGACACAUCGUCAGUUUGUUUCAUCAGUUUGCAUAAAUCUGCAGAGCUGGCUUUGGGUUCUAAACCAAAAUGCCCAUGCAGGUAACACUCUGCAGAGUGUAAAAAAAACAUUUAAAUUGAUGAGAAAGGCAGGGCAGGCCUCAGUGCUGUUUUGGUUUCCAGAGUUCUUGAGAACAUUCAUUUUCAGGCCCUAUUGUGAAGAGGUUCUCCAAUUUCCCCUCAAAGCAAACCUUCUUGCUUGUGACAUUCCUAGUUAUUUUAUAAUCCAAGCUCUCACACACUAUUUGGAAGCAAUGGCCACAGAGAGGGCCCUCAUGCCAGUGUGUCCUAAGAGAACAAGUCCUUCAUUGUUGCCCAAGCAUCCUAUGUCAAUACAAUAAAAUCACUGUCUUCUGUU